UGUUUGAACAAGAAGUCCCCGAGUAUUUAUCCCAAAUACCAAUAUUUUUCCUACACUGGCAGCUAUAAAUUUGUGGUCACCUGAUGGCAAUGGAUGCAAAGACCCUGUGCAGCAGCAGUGCCUCUCACAGGGAAUACCAGGAGGGAAACUGGGAGUGAUCAAUGCACACAGAAUUUGCUUGUCUUUGUGGAGGUCUCGUGUGGGCAGCUCUUGAAUCACACUUUAUGUUUCUGAAUAAGGUGAAGGACUCAUUUUUAGCAACAAACCUCAAACUAUUAGCCCUGCCAUUUUUCCACUGCUGGAGGAAAACGUGGACUGUUGCUGAGCUGUAUGGUAAAUAUCUUGGAUAUAUCUGAAUCUACCACCAGU
rnacentral:lncRNA from 12 species